rnacentral:rRNA from 1 species
GACGAACGCUGGCGGCGUGCUUAACACAUGCAAGUCGAACGGUAAGGCCCUUCGGGGUACACGAGUGGCGAACGGGUGAGUAACACGUGGGUGAUCUGCCCUGCACUUCGGGAUAAGCCUGGGAAACUGGGUCUAAUACCGGAUAGGACCACUGCCUGCAUGGGUGGUGGUGGAAAGCUUUUGCGGUGUGGGAUGGGCCCGCGGCCUAGCAGCUUGUUGGUGGGGUGAUGGCCUACCAAGGCGACGACGGGGAGCCGGCCUGAGCGGGUGACCGGCCACACUGGGACUGAGAUACGGCCCAGACUCCUACGGGAGGCAGCAGUGGGGAAUAUUGCACAAUGGGCGCAAGCCUGAUGCAGCGACGCCGCGUGAGGGAUGACGGCCUUCGGGUUGUAAACCUCUUUCAGCACCGACGAAGCGCAAGUGACGGUAGGUGCAGAAGAAGGACCGGCCAACUACGUGCCAGCAGCCGCCGUAA